rnacentral:tRNA from 1 species
GAUAGCGUGGCCGAGCGGUCUAAGGCGCUGGAUUUAGGCUCCAGUCUCUUUGGAGGCGUGGGUUCGAAUCCCACCGCUGUCA